rnacentral:rRNA from 1 species
UACGUAGGGUGCGAGCGUUGUCCGGAAUUAUUGGGCGUAAAGAGCUUGUAGGCGGUUUGUCGCGUCUGCCGUGAAAAUCCGGGGCUCAACCCCGGACUUGCGGUGGGUACGGGCAGACUAGAGUGUGGUAGGGGAGACUGGAAUUCCUGGUGUAGCGGUGAAAUGCGCAGAUAUCAGGAGGAACACCGAUGGCGAAGGCAGGUCACUAAACUGCAACUGACACUGAGGCACGAAAGCGUGGGGAUCAAACAGG